UCCUACCUUAGCUGAUAGCCCUAGGGGCU
rnacentral:sRNA from 1 species